rnacentral:rRNA from 1 species
AACGAACGCUGGCGGCAGGCUUAACACAUGCAAGUCGAGCGCCCCGCAAGGGGAGCGGCAGACGGGUGAGUAACGCGUGGGCAUCUACCCAUCUCUACGGAAUAACGCAUGGAAACGUGUGCUAAUACCGUAUACGUCCUUCGGGAGAAAGAUUUAUUGGAGAUGGAUGAGCCCGCGUUGGAUUAGCUAGUUGGUGGGGUAAAGGCCUACCAAGGCGACGAUCCAUAGCUGGUCUGAGAGGGUGAUCAGCCACACUGGGACUGAGACACGGCCCAGACUCCUACGGGAGGCAGCAGUGGGGAAUAUUGGACAAUGGGCGCAAGCCUGAUCCAGCCAUGCCGCGUGAGUGAUGAAGGCCCUAGGGUUGUAAAGCUCUUUCACCGGUGAAGAUAAUGACGGUAACCGGAGAAGAAGCCCCGGCUAACUUCGUGCCAGCCGCCGCAGUAAAAC